AGUGAACGCUGGCGGUAGGCCUAACACAUGCAAGUCGAACGGCAGCACAGUAAGAGCUUGCUCUUACGGGUGGCGAGUGGCGGACGGGUGAGGAAUACAUCGAAAUCUACUUUUUCGUGGGGGAUAACGUAGGGAAACUUACGCUAAUACCGCAUACGACCUACGGGUGAAAGCAGGGGAUCUUCGGACCUUGCGCGAUUGAAUGAGCCGAUGUCGGAUUAGCUAGUUGGCGGGGUAAAGGCCCACCAAGGCGACGAUCCGUAGCUGGUCUGAGAGGAUGAUCAGCCACACUGGAACUGAGACACGGUCCAGACUCCUACGGGAGGCAGCAGUGGGGAAUAUUGGACAAUGGGCGCAAGCCUGAUCCAGCCAUACCGCGUGGGUGAAGAAGGCCUUCGGGUUGUAAAGCCCUUUUGUUGGGAAAGAAAGGCAGCAGGUUAAUACCCCGCUGCUCUGACGGUACCCAAAGAAUAAGCACCGGCUAACUUCGUG
rnacentral:rRNA from 1 species